UUAUGAGAGUUUGAUCCUGGCUCAGGACGAACGCUGGCGGCGUGCCUAAUACAUGCAAGUCGUACGCUUCUUUUUCCACCGGAGCUUGCUCCACCGGGAAAAGAAGAGUGGCGAACGGGUGAGUAACACGUGGGUAACCUACCCAUCAGAAGGGGAUAAC
rnacentral:rRNA from 1 species